UAUAAGAACCUCAGACCUCUUCUUUGCACAGGAUGUGAAGGAAGCAGGAACAGAGAUUGGAACUGCUGCAUCUUGCAACCAAGGGGAGACUUAGAAUGCAGCCAUCACUGGGAAAAAAAGAAAAUAUUAUCCUGGUAACAUCUUUUGAGACCUGGAUCAAACCCUUUCCGGAACUAUAUAGCCUUUGGCCAUCUUUUAAAAAUUUAAUGUAAGCCAAUACACAGCUCCCCUGCUUUAUGGUAGAUACAUCGGUGCAUGGUAGAUGCCUGACAGUGAUAACUUAAGCCUACCCUAAGAAUGACCCUGUGAAACAGAUGCAUCUGAAUGUGUGUUUAGAGUUCUGAGCUAAGGAAUCCCAGAGUGGCCAACCCAGAGAUUCAUUCCUUAUCUAUGAUGAACAUCUGAGGCCCCCAGCCCGGCUACAAUUCCAUACACGGGAUCCAGGCCCAUUUGAGGGGUUAAAUGAAGUUUGUCAAGUGGAGGUUGUUAGGGGGAGGGUGUUAAGUGAAAAUGCUAUGUAAACAGCAUGGUUUUGCUGAGGCUGGUGCUAUCUCUCUGGGAGUCGAUAGGGGUUUGACACAACACCUCCUUACCCACUUCAUUUUCUAUUCUUAAGACAGUUUGAGCUGGGCUUUGUGUUGUUACCAACCAAACUCCCUACUCAUUACCCUUGAAGCCAGUGUUUCCCAAAUUUUGCUGAACAUUAGAAUCACCUGGAGAGCUUUUACAUCCCUCCGCCAUGUCAAUUAAGUCAUAAUACCUUGGGGUGGGAGUCAGGAACUGGUAGUGUUGAAAGAUCUCAGGUGAUUCCAAUGCAUGGUGAAAUUCAGGAACCACCACUAUGAGUAAAGUGAGCUGCUUCCUCUGGGCUUCCCUCGCCCCCUGCCCACCGAUUUACCAGAGCUCUUCUUACACUAUAUUGCAGGCCUGCCUCCCCUUUUGGACUCCGAGCAUCUCAAUGGCAGACUCAUGUCUCUCUCUUGUCUUGCACAUGGUAGACCUCCAAUAAGUGUUAAACAAUGAAAUGAAUGAAUCAAUAAAUGAGACAGGUCCAUGCAACGUUCUUGUGUAUUUUUUCAUUCAAGUACCUUGUAAUGGGCAUAAGGUGGGGAAAAAGCUCUAAGAGCGUACCUUUGCCCAAAUCCUGGUUAUCCAGG
rnacentral:lncRNA from 1 species